rnacentral:SRP_RNA from 1 species
GAGACCUCCUUCAGGGGAGGCUGCCACGGCGUUUGCGGGUGCUGUGCCAACGCGGCGCUGUUCAGGUCGGACCUCGAGGACCACAUCCUGCCGGCGCAUGAAGCAGCACACUGCGCCAGGGUGGAAACGGA